CCAGACUCCUACGGGAGGCAGCAGUGGGGAAUAUUGGACAAUGGGGGGAACCCUGAUCCAGCGACGCCGCGUGAGUGAAGAAGUAUUUCGGUAUGUAAAGCUCUAUCAGCAGGGAAGAAAGAAAUGACGGUACCUGACUAAGAAGCCCCGGCUAACUACGUGCCAGCAGCCGCGGUAAUACGUAGGGGGCAAGCGUUAUCCGGAUUUACUGGGUGUAAAGGGAGCGUAGACGGCGAUGCAAGUCUGAAGUGAAAGGCGGGGGCCCAACCCCCGGACUGCUUUGGAAACUGUAUAUCUGGAGUGCAGGAGAGGUAAGUGGAAUUCCUAGUGUAGCGGUGAAAUGCGUAGAUAUUAGGAGGAACACCAGUGGCGAAGGCGGCUUACUGGACUGUAACUGACGUUGAGGCUCGAAAGCGUGGGGAGCACACAGGAUUAGAUACCCCCGUA
rnacentral:rRNA from 1 species